rnacentral:sRNA from 1 species
GUGCCUGCGCUCGCACACACACCUCUGCGUGCCUUGUAGUGGCUCAGGGGCGCCCACCUGAGACAACGGUGGCAGUGGAGGUGGUGACCACGAUGACCUCAGCCGACGUGAUGUGGCAGGAUGGCUCCGUGGAAUGCAACAUCCGCUCCAACGACCUCUUCCCUGUGCACCACCUGGACAACAACGAGUUCUGCCCCGGAGACUUCGUGGUAGAUAAACGAGUCCAGAGCUGUCCAGACCCUGCUGUCUAUGGUGUGGUACAGUCUGGGGACCACAUCGGCCGUACCUGCAUGGUGAAGUGGUUCAAGCUGAGGCCGAGUGGGGACGACGUGGAGCUGAUUGGAGAAGAGGAAGAUGUGAGUGUUUACGACAUUGCUGACCACCCUGACUUUAGGUUCCGUACAACUGACAUCGUCAUCCGCAUCGGCAAUACUGAGGAUGGGGCUCCUCACAAGGAGGAUGAGCCAUCGGUGGGCCAGGUGGCCCGUGUGGACGUCAGCAGCAAGGUGGAGGUGGUGUGGGCUGACAACUCAAAGACCAUCAUC